rnacentral:lncRNA from 1 species
CACCCCGUCAUCAUCAUGCUGAUUUGCUGCUGCCGCUCGUCCUCCUACUCCAUCUGCAUGGACAAGAGCAAGUUAGUUGAAUGGCAUGCACGAUAAAAUUGCAAGGCAUAUAUAUUCAUCUACAUUAAUUGUACUACAGUACAAAUUUUGCAUGGAUGGGUUUGACUUCAACAGAGACUGAAGGAAGAGCAUUUUCCCCUCCCAAUCCAAAACCUGUUGUACAAGUACAGCUCUAAGAGAAGGAACUGUGGUACAACAAGAGGCGCUCCAAAUCAAACUAAAUCUUAGUUUCUUUAUUUACCUAAGAAACAGCACAACCAUAACUUCUGCCAAGCAAGCAGUUAUCAUACUAUCAGCUAAAAGAAAAACAAAGGGAGAUCACGUGUCACUUUCAUGGAAAACAUCAAAAGUAGAUGAUAGGAAAAAGUAGAUGAUCAUCAAAUUCCCUCACACUCAACAGUGAAAAAUGCUACUACCAUUGAUAGCAAGGACUAACUAUUCCCACUACCUGGAUGCAGCGUCCUUCAUUUUGCAAACAAAAAAAAGAGCACAUUAUCAAACUCCUUCACAUACAUAAAUGAAUAGAAGCAACCAAAUUCAACGGUACUACCAAAAUCAAAUUACUAAUAUAAUAGAUGGACGCCCAUCAUCAAAAUUGGUAACAUAAUCCAAGAAGUUCAGUAGCUAGUAUUAAUUAAUAUAAUCUAGUUGAUUAAGAGGAGCAAGCACGGAUUGGGUUUGAAGCACUCAAGUUACAUCUAGCGCUGCUUGAGGAUGGUCUCCUACAAGGGUCCAGACCUCAUCUUCUCAUCGAUCUUGAGGAUGGUCUCCUACAAGGGUCCUACGAGUAGCCUUUUUAUCAUGAAAGGAGUACAAGUAGCAUUGCUUUGAUUCUAAUUGUAAUUCCUAGUUGAUUAUCAAAAUUCUGUAUGAGCAAAUAUCCAUUGCCAAAUACUCCUACAUGACAGAUCUAGCACAUGACCAAAAUAAGUGCUCCAUAGCCACAACCGGACUGACCAAAAUGCAACUAAAUAUGACCAAUAACUACCAAUUCAUGGAUGAUCUGAACCUGUACCCGCCGAUGCUCGCCGUGGACUCUGCCAUCAGCGCCGAGACGCCGCCGUUGAGAAUCUUGAAGGGCUGCGACCAUCCCGACCACGCCGACGUUGCUGUGCCUGCAGCAACAGCAGCUCGACGCCGCCGGGGCCUCCUCUAAACAAGACAGAAAUAAAAAGCAUGUAU